UGAAUUUUUUAUGAAUUUCCCAAGUUGAAGGUAACAAGCUGAAAUAUCUGUCUUGCGGAUCAAAAAUUUAAGGCGAUUUCAUUUCGGUGGUAAUUGGGAUUUUCAUUCCAAUUGAGGUACAUGACUCAGGAUUUGAAGAUUCCAUUGCUCCUUGGAUGGCUUACAGUUUCUAAGUUUCUAUUUUAUGCAAGUGUUAGCAUAAGAUGCCUCUUUGUAGCCCUUUUUGUUUAAACUUGUAUUCGUUGAUUCGUAUAUGUAAAGUGUACGUAAGUGCACUCUUUUCAAUAUAUUUAACAUGUAUGAGAUGAGGCCGGAGGCCAAUGACAUGUAUCUCAUUUUCUA